UACGUAGGGUGCAAGCGUUGUCCGGAAUUAUUGGGCGUAAAGAGCUCGUAGGCGGUCUGUCACGUCGGCUGUGAAAACCCGAGGCUCAACCUCGGGCCUGCAGUCGAUACGGGCAAACUAGAGUACUGCAGGGGAGACUGGAAUUCCUGGUGUAGCGGUGAAAUGCGCAGAUAUCAGGAGGAACACCGGUGGCGAAGGCGGCAUCCUGGACCAUUACUGACGCUGAGGCGCGAAAGCUAGGGGAGCAAACGGG
rnacentral:rRNA from 1 species